GUACUCACUCACUUUGCAGCACAUACACUAAAACCGUAAUGAUACAGAGACGAUUAGAAGCCCUUUACACUAGGGUGACAUGCAAAUUCAUGAAAGAAGUUAUAUUCAA
rnacentral:snRNA from 1 species